GUGCUUGCUUCAGCAGCACAUAUACUAAAAUUGAAAGAAUACUGAGAAGAUUAGCAUGGCCCCUGUGCAAGGAAAAAAAUGAUAUAUGAUAGAACAUAAUUUUAAUU